ensembl:lncRNA
UGGGAAUUUCUCUCUCUCUCUCUCUCUCUCUCUCUCUCUCUGUCUCUCUCUCUCUCUCUCUCUCUCUCUGUCUCUCUCUCUCUCUCUCUCUCUCUCUCUCUCUCUCUCUCUCUCUCUCUCUCUCUCUCUCUCUCUCUCUCUCUGGAUGGCAAAUGAGUUAAGAAGAGGAUAACUCUCUGUUCCCGAAGUAAAGAAAAACAGACAGACACACAUGCCGUUCUGCGCCAAACCAGAAGGGAGUGGGAGGGGACCUGGAUGAAAGCAGAGAUCCUGUCAGUGUGUGCAGUGCUGCUCAUCUCAUCUCACAACUGUACUAUCCACUGUCGAACUGCUCCUGAACCGUCUGACUUCGACUGACUCUCUCAAACCUAAAGGGUUAAAGCAAACAACUAAAAUCCCUCCUAUUUUUUUUCCUCCGGAGGAUAUGGAGAGCCACCUGCCAACUUCUAAGGAGUAAAAUCCCUCACACCCUGUCUCUCUUUCCUUCCUUCUGGAACUCUUCUGCUUUCUCUCUCUCUCUCUGAGUAUUUCACCCUGACUCCUUAUAUUUUACCCCUGGCAGAGAGAGACUCCCAUGGACCCCCGGGUUCCGCUGCUGUCGUUAGUAACUUGGAGCGCUCUGGGAACUUCGUGAACUUCCCCGUCUGUGCCUCUGUUCCGGAGUAGGAGAGAGAGACGGAGGGAGAGACGGAGGGAGAGACGGAGGGAGAGACGGAGGGAGAGGGGGGUAGCAGUAGUUGAAGCAGCCCUGCAGACGAAGACUCCUCUGGAGACCUCAGAACCUCAGGACCGGCUAGAACCAACCAGCAGGACAUCGAGCUGGUGAUACCUCCCCAGGGGACAGGCCACCAUGAAGGGCCAGCGUCUCAACCGCCUCUCCCACCUGGGGCUACUCUUACUGCUCCUGGACCUGGACGUGAGUCACGGCUCCGCUGCUCCUGCUGAGGACGAGGAUUACUACAUGCAGGAGUUACUCACCAGGGACCACUACCACCACGCGGCACCUGAGGAGGAGAUGGUACCACCCGUUCCCCCCUUCGAAGGGGCCCGAGGGACCGACAGGAACAAACGUCCCCCCAGCCUGGAGACGACCGACAGGAUCAAACGUCCCCCCAGUCAGAAGGAGACAACCAACAGGAACAAGCGUCCCCUCAGCCAGGAGACGACCGACAGAAACAAGCGUCCCUCCAUCCAGAAGGAGGCGACCGCCAAGGCAGAAAACGUCAGACAAACAGACAAGACCAGGGUCACUGAAACGAAGUCAGUGAAGAAUGGAAACAAGAAGGAUGAGAAGAACAGAAAGGGAACGUUGAAAACUCCCAACAGCAUCAACGAGGGAGAGGGCCACUACAAGUCAGCAAGAGAGGGACUCUUUAGGAGACGGGUCGGAACAAUCACAGAUCACACCCGAUGGUCCCUAAUCUGGUGAGUGAAGCAUCUGUAUCUCUACAAACACCGAUGUCCAGGACUCUUUAGGAGACGGGUCGGAACAAUCACAGAUCACACCCGAUGGUCCCUAAUCUGGUGAGCGAAGCAUCUGUAUCUCUAUAAACAGU